rnacentral:rRNA from 1 species
GACGAACGCUGGCGGCGUGCUUAACACAUGCAAGUCGAACGGAAAGGCCCUGCCUUUGUGGGGUGCUCGAGUGGCGAACGGGUGAGUAACACGUGAGUAACCUGCCCUUGACUUUGGGAUAACUUCAGGAAACUGGGGCUAAUACCGGAUAGGAGCUCCUGCUGCAUGGUGGGGGUUGGAAAGGUUGGGCGGUUGGGGAUGGACUCGCGGCUUAUCAGCUUGUUGGUGGGGUAGUGGCUUACCAAGGCUUUGACGGGUAGCCGGCCUGAGAGGGUGACCGGCCACAUUGGGACUGAGAUACGGCCCAGACUCCUACGGGAGGCAGCAGUGGGGAAUAUUGCACAAUGGGCGGAAGCCUGAUGCAGCAACGCCGCGUGCGGGAUGACGGCCUUCGGGUUGUAAACCGCUUUCGCCUGUGACGAAGCGUGAGUGACGGUAAUGGGUAAAGAAGCACCGGCUAACUACGUG